rnacentral:tRNA from 3 species
GCGCCUGUAGCUCAGCCGGACAGAGCAACGGCCUUCUAAGCCGUGGGUCGCGGGUUCGAAUCCUGCCGGGCGCGCCA